GCCGGAUUAAUACCGCAUACGACCUGAGGGUGAAAGCGGGGGAUCUUUCGGACCUCGCGCUAUUGGAGCGGCCGAUGGCAGAUUAGCUAGUUGGUGGGGUAAAGGCCUACCAAGGCGACGAUCUGUAGCUGGUCUGAGAGGACGACCAGCCACACUGGGACUGAGACACGGCCCAGACUCCUACGGGAGGCAGCAGUGGGGAAUUUUGGACAAUGGGCGAAAGCCUGAUCCAGCAAUGCCGCGUGUGUGAUGAAGGCCUUCGGGUUGUAAAGCACUUUUGGCGGGAACGAAAGGGACUGUGCCAAUACCACGGUUCGAUGACG
rnacentral:rRNA from 1 species